UACGUAGGUGGCAAGCGUUGUCCGGAUUUACUGGGCGUAAAGCGCGCGCAGGCGGCCUGAUCAGUCUGGGGUGAAAUCUCCCGGCUCAACUGGGAGCGGUCCCUGGAUACUGUCAGUCUUGAGAGACCUAGAGGAGAGCGGAAUUCCCGGUGUAGUGGUGGAAUGCGUAGAUAUCGGGAAGAACACCAGUGGCGAAGGCGACUCACUGGACACAUAUUGACGCUGAGGUGCGAAAGCGUGGGGAGCAAACAGG
rnacentral:rRNA from 1 species